CUCUCUGUGGGGUGUCAAGUCAGCAAACCAGCUGUGAUCUCCAGUUUGGAGCAGGGGAAGGAGCCAUGGAUGGAGGAGGAAGAGAUAAGGACGUGGAGCUUCCCAGAAGAAGUUUGGCAAGUUGCUACCCAGCCAGAUAGCCAACAGCAACACGAAGACCAACAUUUGAGCCAUACGUUUCUAGACAAGAAAGACUGGACCGGAAAUGAGCUUCAUGAAUGUAACGAACUUGGAAAAAAACUCCAUCAGAACCCAAACCUCCUUCCAUCAAAACAGCAGGUCCGCACACGUGACUUGUGCAGAAAGAGUUUGAUGUGUAACCUGGACUUCACUCCUAACGCCUACCUGGCGAGGAGGAGAUUUCAGUGCGACGGCCACGGAAACUUCUUCUCUGUUCGAAACUUGAAACUCCACCUUCAGGAGCGAAUCCACGCGGAGGUCACCAGUGUGGAAGUGCUUUAAGCUGUGACGAGGGAGUUCCUGCAGCUCAGGGAGCCAGUAGUGAGAAACCCCACGAAUGCACGAAGUGUGGGAAAGCCUUGUGCUGCAGAUCGGACCUCAGGGUACAUCACGGGGUCCACGCGGGGGAGAAGUCCUCUGCGUGCAGUGAACGGGGGAGUGGUUUCAGGGAGAAGCUUUGCCCUGACAAACAGGGAACUCACACAAAGGAGAAACCCGCUAGAGACAGCAGAAGUGGUAAAACGAUCUUCCGGAAGACACGCCUGUGUGUCCCGGGCACAGUUCACGCCGGAGCGAAGCCUUACAAGUGUUGGGAGUGUGAGAAAACCUCCCACAAGUCGCGCCUCAUCGAGCACCUUCGCUCCCACACGGGGGAGAAGCCCUGCGGCUGCAGGGAAUGCGGAAAGGCCUUUUUCCAGAAGUCACACCUCAUCCUGCGUCAGAGGACUCACACGGGGGAGAAGCCCUGCGACUGCGCGGAGUGCGGGAAAGCUGCUCCCAGGACUCCUGCCUCCUGACCCACAGGCGGACUCGCGGGGAAGAAACCGUACGAGUGCUCCGACUGCGGGAAGACCUCCCGGAAGGCGAACCUCAUCCGCCACCACGGGAUCCACACGAGGGAGAAGCUGCAUGGGUGAAGAGACCGUGGGAUCGUCACAAAGUCACAUCACGAGGUCGCCGAACCUCUAGGAGGGACAUCGCCAGGGAAACAGCCCUCAACCAAAACUACGACGCCACCCUAGGCAGAGGUCCCAUAUCGGGGUGAAAUUCGGCCACUUUGGUGGCUUAAGGAAGGCAUGGUCAGCUGGGCGCUGUGGCUCACGCCUGUAAUCCCAGCGCUUUGGGACGCCGAGGCGAGUGGAUCACCUGAGGUCAGGAGUUCAAGACCAGUCUGGCCAACAUGGUGAAAGCUCGGCUCUACUAAAAGUACAAAAAAUUAGCCGGGAAUUGUGGCAGGCGCCUGUAAUUCCAGCUACUCGGGAGGCUGAGGCAGGAGAAUCGGUUGAACCUGGGAGGCGGAGAUUGCAGUGAGUCGAGGUCGCACCACUGCACUCCAGCUUGGGUGACAGAGUGAGACUCAGUCUCAAAAACAAACAACAAAAAAGCAUGGUCUGUUAAAACUAACGACGGAAGGGUAAUGGUAUGCUAGAGUGAUCUAUUUUCGUAGGUGUACUUUUUUUUUUUGAGACGGAGUCCUCGUUCUAUCGCCCAGUCUGGAGGGCAGUGGUGCCAUCUCGGCUCACUGCAGCCUCUGCCUCCCGGGUUCAUGUGAUUCUCUUGUUUCAGCCUCCCGAGUAGCUGGUAUUACAGGUGCCUGCCAGCGUGCCGGGCCAAUUUUUUGUGUUUUUAGUAGAGAUGGAGUUUCACCAUGUUGGUCAGGCUGUUCUCGAACUCCUGACCUCAUGAUCUGCCCACCUCAGCUUCCCAAAGUGCUGGGAUUACAGGCGUGAGCCACUUUAGCCAGGAUAUACUUAAUUAUAAAGACAACUGUGGAUAUGAAGUUUUUUUUUCUUUUGAGAUGAAGUUUUACUCUUGUUGCCCAGGCUAUGGGAAGAAAUGAAAUCAUUACGACUAACAGAUCUAAAAAGCGUGAGAACAUCCCAGAGGGACGCAGGGGUGUGUUCCAAGUGUGCUACAGACAGAUAAUUUUUAUUUUUGUGUUGCACUGGUGAACAGAACAUAAUUGUGAAUCUGUAGACAUACAUACCAUAAUAUAUAGAAGAUCUAUGGAUACUUUCUAUGCUAAAUUAUACCCUUCUGUGUUUGUGAUAUAGAACUGGAAUAAGAUGAAUAUAUUAUUAAAGCAGAGAGGCCCACUGCAGCAGCACAUACCAUUUCUUCUGUUUGUCAUCACGUAUUACAGAGCCCCUGAACUUGGAAGCUAACAAUUUCAUGACAUCUGAUAACUCACAGUCAACUAGUUUAUAAGUUAUAUUUUUGGCUGGGCUCGGUCGCUCACACCUGUAAACCCAACACUUUGGGAGGCUGAGGCAGGCAGAUCACAUGAGGUCAGGAGUUUGAGACCAGCCUGGCCAACACGGUGAAACCCCGUCACUGAAAAAUAUAAAAAUUAGCUGAGCAUGCUGGUGAUUUUCUGUAAUCCCAGUAAUCCCAGCUACUUGGGAGGCUCAGGCACGAGAAUUGCUUGAGCCCAGCAGGCAGAGGUUGCAGUGAGCUGAGAUUGUGCCACUUCAUUCCAGCCUGGGCGACAGAGCAAGACUCUGUCUCAAAACAAGUUAUAUUUCUAUAUUAGGACUCCAUUUUCUGGCAAUACGGUGGACCGUCUAAAGUGAAAAUCACCGGGGCAGUGGCUCGUGCCUGUGAUCUCAGCACUUGGGAAAGUCAAGGUGGACAGGUCACUUGACCCCAGGAGUUCAAGACCAGCCUGGGCAACACGGUGAGACCCUGUCU
rnacentral:lncRNA from 1 species